ACGCUCGACACCUACGGGAGGCGCAGUGGGGAAUAUUGCACAAUGGGGGAAACCCUGAUGCAGCGACGCCGCGUGGAGGAAGAAGGUCUUCGGAUUGUAAACUCCUGUUGUUGGGGAAAAAGAGGAUGGUACCCAACAAGGAAGUGACGGCUAACUACGUACCAGCAGCCGCGGUAAUCUGAGCGGGCUGGCAAGGC
rnacentral:rRNA from 1 species